GCCUCCAUGGCGCAACCGGUUAGCGCGUUCGACUGUUAGCCGAAAGAUUGGUGGUUCCAACACACCCGGAGGCG
rnacentral:tRNA from 1 species